AAGAGCCUGCAGCACUGCAGAAAGAGUCUCAGCAUCUGCCUUGUCAACACAUGGGUGUGAAAGCCACUGGGGACAAUCCUUCCUCUCUUGCUGUAUUGGCCCUCUUGCCAAUACCAACACACAAAUGCUCUUAGGGGAAAUCCACCCAUUUCAAGUUGGCUUUGCAGUCUUCAGCUACCGUCUGUGGGGUUGAAAAUGAACCUCUUCCUCCAUACAGUGGUGAGCUUGUGAGCUGAGGGCUUUGAAAGAGAACAGGAGACUCAAGAGACAAUUGUAGAAUGCUUUCUCUUAUAUGCAAAAUCAACCUAUCACUUACCUACACCUACCUAUCUAUUACGGAUCUAUAAUCUGUUGAAAGUAGACGGGGACCAUGAGAGGGGAAGAAGAGGUCUAAAGCCUUCAUCCAGCAGCUGGUGGAAGUAGAAGCAGACACCCACAGCUAAACACUGAGCUGAACUGGAAUCCAGUUGCAGAGAAGGAGGAGUGAUGAGCAAAGGGAUCAUGACCAGACUGAUGAAAACCACAGAAACAGCUGACCUGAACAAGGACGAGCUCUUGGUCCCCAGACUGAUAGCUGGGAAACCAGCAUGGGAUGGGACUGAUCCAGACCCCAUGAAUAAGCUGACUCCUGGGAUUAUUAUGAAAACAAAAUGAGUUGAUUUUCUAGAACCCCUUCAGACAGAGCCCACACAGGAAGCUUGCCUGGUGCAGUCCUCGCCCAAGUCCGGUCGGCUCCUGCAGAUGAGAUCAUUGUUUAUCUAACAUGUCUUGGCAUGGGAAAGAGUUCCAUGAGUUUGCUCCAGGAUAGAUAGUGUCAGUUUGAUGGAGGCUCCCUCUCACUCCAGUUUUCCUCCCCUAUUCGGCUACAUCCUACAUCUUUUCCCUCUGUCCCUUUGGGCUGACAGGAAUGCUCUGUGACGAGCAAGGGGAGCAGUUGAACUGGCUCCCCAUCUCCACCCACUUGGGAGCUCAGAGAGCACUGAGGGGAGCUUAUGCAGCUUGACCACUUCCUCUGGCAUCCUCUGACUGGCAGAAGGAGGAAGGACCCAGAAACAGCACCGAGGAGAAGGGGCAGUUUGGAGACCAAAUAUCACAUUCAUGAAUUCUGAAAUUAAAAUGCAUGUUCACAAACAAAUUUCAAACCUACAGCCACAAAUUUCGAUAACAUCUAAAGCCGGGCGGUGGUGGCACACGUCUUUAAUCCUAACAAUAGGGAGGCAGACGCAGGCAGAUUUCUGUGAGUUCGAGGUGAGCUUGGUCUACAAACUGAGUUCCAGGACAGUCAGGUCUACAGAGAGAAAUCCUGUCUUGAACCACUGCUUCCAAAAGAAAAAUAACACCUAAUUUGUAUAUUUUCACAAUUGAAAAAAUCAUAUUAUAAUUAAAUUGGAUGGUCACCUUUGCACCACUUUCUUGUUUCCCGUUAACUCCAUCCAGUUCAGCUGUGUCUCAGUUAGGGUUUCUAUUGCUAUGAAGAGACACCAUGACCACAGCAACUCUUCUCCCCCCUUUUUAAAUUUAAAUUAGAAACAGCAACUCUUAUAAGGAAAAACAUAUGAUUGAGGUGGCGGCUUACCUGGUAGGAACAUGGCAGUGUGUAGGCAGAGGUGGUGCUGGAGAAGGAGCUGAGGAUUCUAUAUCUUAAUCCAAAGGCAACAGAAGUGAAUGGAGAUACUGGGAGUGGCUUGAGCAUUUAUGAGGCCUCAAAGCCCUCUUCCACAGUGACACGCUUCCUCCAGCAAGGCCACUCCUCUUAAUAGUGCCACUUGUUUGGGGGCCAUUUUCUUUCAUACCACCACAGGCUGCAAACUGUAACAGCCAGUCUGCAUUGUUUGAAUUUUUGAUGUUUACAAAUGUAUGUAUGUCUGUGAGUAGAAACUUGUCUUUUACACAAAAUUGGGAGGGGUAGAGGAUACAGAUUGGAUCUAGGAGAAGUUAGGGGAAGAGUGGAGAGUGAAUAUGAUCAAAAUACAUCAUAUCCAUGUACGAAAUUCUCAAAGACUUAAUAAAAAUAUUGUGUUUUUUUAAAAGAAAAGGAAAAGAAAUUGUCUUAAAACUCAGAGGUGAAUGCUCUUCAAGUUAACGCCUGCAUUGAGAACACCAGAACUUGGGGACAUUUCUGUGUAUGUUCCUUCCCUUCAGAUUUCAUCUUUUGCCUGUGUCCACUCUUGCCUGACUCUGCUGCUGCCCCUGCAGAAGGCCUGGCUGCUGAUUACAAGUUCUAAGAUAUGUAGGAUUUGAAGAGUUAACACCAUAAAAUGGUGGCAGACUUCUGCAGACUGUCAUGGGUACUUGUUAGCUGUAUGGCUCUGAUUAAGUUUCUAUUCUCUAACAUAAGGGAUAAUUAAUACUCAAAAGAAUAAUGCAAGAAAUGAAAUAAUUAAGGUGUACAACUUGCCUGUCUGUGCUGAUUACAGCUAAGUACUGUUAUUUUCCAGAAGCCAUGGAACUGGUGUUGUUGAUGGUUGUGAACUGCCAUGUGGGUGCUGAGAAUAAAACCUGGGUCCUCUUAACCUCUAGACCAUCUCUUCAGCUCCUGCCUAGUUCACUUUUGUUACUAGCAUUUUUUCCUGCCAGCCUAGUCCCACUGCCAUGUCAGCCCCAAAUGAGCACUCGGAGACUUACAUUAAUUAUAAUUCUGUUGGCCAAUGGCUUGGGCUUCUUAUUGGCUAGCUCUGUCUUAAUUAUUAACCCAUAACUACUAAUCUAUGUAUUUCCGAAUGGUCGUGGCUUACUGGAGAAUGCCGGACCUGCAACUCCUUUGCCUCUACAUUACAACUGUUCUGGAGGGCUCUCCUGUCUACCUUUCCAGACUUCUUCUCUCCUACUCCUGCCUGUCUUCCUGCCUCAUUGGCCAUUGGCCCAACAGUGUUUUACUCAUCAACCAAUAAGAGAAACAUAUACAAAAGGACAUCCCCUAUCAUCUCCUCUUUUCUGUCUAAAUAAAAAGAAAGGUUUUAACUUUAACAUAGUAAAGUUGUAUAUAACAAAACAGUUACCAAGUAAGAACUAUAGUUACAAUAUUUAGCCCAUUAACAUUUAGCAAAAUUUAAGGAAAAUAUUCUAUCAUCUAUCCUAUCUUUGUGAGUCUAAAGUCUUAUAUGUAAUUUGUUGUCAUAACUAAGGAAACCAUACCCAUAACUAAUAUGUAAACUCUAGCAUUGACAGAGACAUCUCACUGCCUGGACAGUCAUCCAAAUUCCCUCUGUAAUGUUGGAGCAUCUAUCUUCAGCCAAAGGUAACAGUGUGUCUGACAGACUUCUCAAUGAAGCAGGAAAUUUUAAACUUUCCACCUGUAUUGGCAGCUUGUCAGUCAUUUUUCUGUGUCCUGCAGAAUGUCUGGCAAACUCUUCCAUGAACCAGGAACCAUUCAGGAAUGUCCCAUCUUGUUUUGGAGCAGUCACUUUCCUGUGGCUCCUGCAUGUCCACUUUUCGCAGCAUACAAUCAAACAGUCCAGGCAAGAACAGUUUUUUGCUCAAAUGGCUAGUCUUGCCAUGUCGAAGGCAAAUUCCAUAAUGAGUUUAUUCAAUGACCAUCUUCCUCUUUGAAGUAUUUUGUGUUUCCAUGAUCAGUUAUGUCUCACUGUCAUGAAAAAAGCUAAACCAUUGUAAAUGCCAUAUUCUGUAGGUCUUUGAAAGGUUUGAAGACUAUCCAUCUCAAAAAUAUCUCUGUAUAUCUAGAAUACCUAACUAACCUAACUAUAAGUUUUGACUAUUAUAGGUGACUAUAUAUAAUCUGUAUUUAAUAUAUAUUACAUUUUUAAAAUGAGCUAUAUAAACACAAUACCUAAAUAAGAG
ensembl:lncRNA